UACGUAGGCAGCAAGCGUUGUUCGGAGUUACUGGGCGUAAAGGGUGUGUAGGCGGUUGUUUAAGUUUGGGGUGAAAUCUCCCGGCUCAACUGGGAGGGUGCGCCGAAUACUGAAUGACUCGAGUACGGGAGAGGAAAGUGGAAUUCCUGGUGUAGCGGUGAAAUGCGUAGAUAUCAGGAGGAACACCGGUGGUGUAGACGGCUUUCUGGACCGUAACUGACGCUGAGACACGAAAGCGUGGGUAGCAAACAGG
rnacentral:rRNA from 1 species